GAUGAACGCUGGCGGCGUGCCUAAUACAUGCAAGUCGAGCGAACAGAUAACGAGCUUGCUCCUUUGACGUUAGCGGCGGACGGGUGAGUAACACGUGGGUAACCUACCUAUAAGACUGGAAUAACUCCGGGAAACCGGGGCUAAUGCCGGAUAACAUUUAGAACCGCAUGGUUCUAAAGUGAAAGAUGGUUUUGCUAUCACUUAUAGAUGGACCCGCGCCGUAUUAGCUAGUUGGUAAGGUAACGGCUUACCAAGGCAACGAUACGUAGCCGACCUGAGAGGGUGAUCGGCCACACUGGAACUGAGACACGGUCCAGACUCCUACGGGAGGCAGCAGUAGGGAAUCUUCCGCAAUGGGCGAAAGCCUGACGGAGCAACGCCGCGUGAGUGAUGAAGGUCUUCGGAUCGUAAAACUCUGUUAUUAGGGAAGAACAAAUGUGUAAGUAACUGUGCACGUCUUGACGGUACCUAAUCAGAAAGCCACGGCUAACUACGUG
rnacentral:rRNA from 1 species